CCUUCCUUGCACGUGGUGGUCUGACUCCAGUCCCUGCAUGAUGUGCGGGCAGCGGCGCUGAACUCAUCUCAUCUCAACGUUCCUGAAUCCUGAGUGGCCUCCCAAAGUCAAGUCUGUGUUGUUAUGUAAUGUGUGACUCAUGUUGCAGCCAGGCAGGGUAAAGACCGCGACGGCUGAACAAAAAGAAAGAAAGUAUAGGUUCAGAGAACAUCUAACCAACAUAGAAAAUGGUUUAGAACAACUGCAGCUUCUUCCAGCCUGCUCUCCUUCCUGGUUGUCUCUCCCAUGCCACAGCCACUGCCCUGCCCCCUGCCUCCCAGCACAGCACAGAGCGGGCUGAGACCUCUGUGUCUGACAGCAACUCCAGACUGUGCAGUUUGUUCCCAUGGGUUCCCGCUGGACUUGACCCCUGCCUAUAUGCCAAGGACAUGAUAAAUAUAUAUGCAGCCACCAAUCAUCAGCUAUCUCACAGUAAUGCAUUAUUAUUCCUGAGCCUAACUCAGUAUUGCAACAAAGCAUAGAAAGAGAACAAAGCAAAUUUGAUAAUAAAAGUAAAUUAAGGGGGAAUUCCGGGAAGAGGCAGAGCAUGUGGGAAGCCUGCAGAAAAAAACACAGAAUUAUAGAGUUACCGGAAACCCUGGAAUAUCAAAAUGUAAUGCACUUUAUCACAGAAAUAGUCCCAAAUUCACUACAAAUGCAAAUAUCUUCACAGUCCCUUCAAAUUGAAGAAUACAUUGAUUAGGCCCACCUCGGAAAAAUCUUGAUGGUUCAUUUAGAUCCAGACCAAGUAUUGCAAAGUUUUUGAACUUUCAGGAAAAAGUUAACCUUUUAAGAUGUUAUAGGAAGAUUAAUCCACUGAUCAAAAUAAAAUUCUGAUAUUCCAGGAUUUCUCAACUGAAACAUCGGCCAAAAGGAGAAAAAUAUCUCCAUAUUGUUCAAAGCUAAUGAAAGCUAAUUUUAAUGUGAGAAUGAUGUACCCUGCCAAAUUGGUACUGACAUGUAACGGAGACAUUUAAACUCUUAAUAACAUACAAGAAGUGGAUUUCUGUAAAGACAAUGGUAUAAAAUAAAUUGAUGCAUAGGAAUGUCCUAUGUAAACUGGA